rnacentral:lncRNA from 10 species
UGGGAGGAUGCUCUGACUUCAGUGAGUCUUAGGAGGUGCUUGAGAAAUAAAUGAUGUGGCCCCCAGCCAAGGCAGGAAAGAGGGGAAGAUGUGGAUCCGGCAUGGAGGAUCAGUGGAGCAGCAGAACUGCAGGAGCUUAUAGUAAAAUGCAAGAAGAAACAAAGAUGAAAUUUAUAAUCCAAAGGGAAGCAGAACAAAAAUUUGGAAAAAUCUCAGCCUGCAGAGAAUGAGAAAAUGUGUUCAUGAGAGACUCAUACCAAAGGUGUAGCAAAGAGACCACUUGAUAAGGAGAUUAGCAUGAAUGGGCAAAGUCUGGUGCAUUUCAUCAAGACAAUGGAAGAAUGACCCUGAAGGCAUUUGAAGAUCUUGGGAGGUGGUACUGCCUAGUGGAGCUGUGGGUGGGGGCAGGACUACAGCAGAGAGCCCCCUUUAAUGCAAUACCUAGGGUAGCCAUGGGAGCAGGGCCACUCUGGAGACCCUAGACUGGUGGAGUUACCGGCAUGAAACUCCAGCGAGAAAGCCGCAGGCGUGAAACUCUAACCUGUGAGCGCUGCCACGUGGGUUACACCCAGCAAAGCCAUGGAGGUAGAGCCCUGUGGAUCCUUGGAGGCCCAACUCCUACCCCAGUGUGUCCAGAAUGUAGAACUUUUGAGUUGAAUAUUAUUGUGGAGCCUUAAAUGUUUGCCCUGUUGGGUUUUGCAUUUGGUCAGGAUCUAUUGCCCCUUUAUUCUUUCCUAUUUCUCCCUUUUGCAAUGGAAGCCUAUCCUAUGCCUGUCCCACCAUUGUAUUUUGGAACCACAUUUGAUUUCACAGCUGGAGAGCAAUUUGCAUCAGAAUAAAUUGUACCUUGAG